rnacentral:tRNA from 1 species
GGCAUGGUAGCCAAGUAGUAAGGUGUCAGUCUUGUAAACUGAAGAUCAGAGGUUCAGACUGUGCCU